UACGGAGGGUGCAAGCGUUAAUCGGAAUUACUGGGCGUAAAGCGUGCGCAGGCGGUUCGGAAAGAGAGGGGUAAAAUCCCAGGGCUUAACCUUGGAACUGCACUUUUAACUACCGGGCUAGAGUACGUCAGAGGGGGGUAGAAUUCCACGUGUAGCAGUGAAAUGCGUAGAGAUGUGGAGGAAUACCGAUGGCGAAGGCAGCCCCCUGGGAUGAUACUGACGCUCAUGCACGAAAGCGUGGGGAGCAAACAGG
rnacentral:rRNA from 1 species